rnacentral:rRNA from 1 species
AUUGAACGCUGGCGGCAGGCUUAACACAUGCAAGUCGAGCGAGCGGCGGCCGGGUGAGUAAGGUCUGGGAAACUGCCUGAUGGAGGGGGAUACCUACUGACAACGGUAGCUAAUACCGCAUACCAUACGAUGUGCCCAGAUGGGAUUAGCUAGUAGGUGGGGUACGGGCUCAACUAGGCGACGAUCCCUAGCGGGUCUGAGAGGAUGACCGGCCACACUGGAACUGAUACACGGUCCAGACUCCGACGGGAGGCAGCAGUGGGGAAUAUUGCACAAUGGGCGCAAGCCUGAUGCAGCCAUGCAGCGUGUGUGAAGAAGGCCUUCGUGUUGUAAAGCACUUUCAGCGAGGAGGCGUUACUCGCAGAAGAAGCACCGGCUAACUCCGUGCCAGCAGCCGCGGUAAUAC